rnacentral:lncRNA from 10 species
AGGGAGAGGCGCCUCUCAGGACCUGGCAGCCUAGACCCGCCAGGCCAGCAAAUAAAGCCACCGGAUCGUGCACUCCGGAGCGACUGCCCCCACCCCGACCUUGUCUUUCCCGAAGGGAAUGGCUCCUCCGGCGCCUCAACGCACAGAAAACGCCUGCCUCCAGCUGAGCGCUUUUGCCAGCUUUCUCCAACCAGUGAAUAAGGGAUGCACUAUGGACUCAGAAGGAAAUGUCAUAUUUAAGUUCUGCCUCUGAUUUCUCUGCUCUUAGCUGAUCUAAGGUUUUUCUAGACUCCUUAGUUUCCACUCACAGUGCUGGGUAAUGGAGCCCUACCGCACUGAUUGAGAAUUGCCGGCCAGUGGGUUGGUACAGAGCAAAUUGUCCUUGCUAACAACCUUUUUCCUUUGCUGUUGGAUUCCACUAAGUGGUGAGAGGGGUCAGUUUUAGAUUUUUGCAAUUCCCCAGCGUGGAGACAGGCCGGCUCUAUACGAGAAUAAGUGAUAGGCAGAGGAAGAAUUUGGCAGUGUUCCCGGGUUGAUUUUAUUUUGGUCUCUUGAACACAUUAUUCUUCCUGAUAGAACAAAUCCCUGGACUUGGUAGGACCCAGUUCCAGGGAAGGGAAGAGUCCUCUACCGCACCCCCAGAACGCCCUGCAGAGGCUGUGAGUGGGCAAAGCCCAGUUUCCUGGACUCCCACUUAGGAGGUGCUGCAGAAAUAAGGCCUUCAGCUGGGGCUCCCUGAGUCGGAUUGGAACCGUGGCCCAUCAGUAAGAGUAGACUGGAUGGUAACUGCUCGAUUCCUUUCAUCAAGCUCUCAUCCCUUUGUCAGAAAUAGAUGAAAUCGAUUGCUCCCAGAAGGCCAUUUGAGCCACUAACUCCCUCAAAGUACUUCAGAUUCAUGCAAUAUGGAGAUUCGGGUUGGUAGUUCAAACUGCAUCAUAUCUAGUCAAGUUUUUUGAAAACAUCAAACCCAUAAAUUUCAGAAAAGCAAUACAAGCUCCAUAUUUUUAGUAGGAGCUAACCUAGUUUUGAGAUGUAUGAAUAGAUGAAGUGAAACUGGAAAAACAUUAAAAGUUGGAAUUUUAAUUAACUAAUGUUUAAAAUAAGCCUAUUAGUGGUUAUUCUGUCAAGUGACUGUGUCAUGCAAGAGGUGUCAUCUGGGCCUCAUUUUUGGCCAUCUCCUUGAUUUGUACUGACAGAGAAGGAAGGAAAUAAACAAAUGAAUCUUCACUUUCUGAUUCUACCUUUUUAGCCUUUUAAAAGUUACCUUGAAAAUUCCUCAAAUAUUGGAGAAACGACUACCAACUAAAACGUUAACACAAAGUUACAAUGUGAAGUUUUUGUGAUACAGUAUAUUUACUAACCAACAAGAUGAAGAAAGAUAAUGCUAAAUUUUGAAUCACACUAGAUUCAAAACAUUUGCUAGAGUAGAGGUUACAGCCAUAUUUGAAAACUGUAUUAUUUUUCUGAGAUAAUAAUAUUAAAUGAUUUUGCCUUCAUUGGAUUACUUUUAAAUUGGGAAAAUUAAAAUAAUUAUAACCAACAGAAACACUCUUCAAAUCAAUAGAGACAUCAUUAGAGAGAACAUAUUCAAAAUUUGAAAGGACUGUUUUAAAUAGGGCAAUCUUUAAAAUAUAAUUUGAACAACCAGAAUAGAAAACUGGCUGCCUCUUAAUAUUUAAUCAUAGUUUUAUGUAAAUAGCUAAAAUUUUAAAUCAAUAAAAAAUAAUUUUUAAAAAUAUCAAACAAUGGCCACAACAGUUAAGAAUUGUUGAAUUUAUUCUCAAAGGAUGUAAUUUCAUUUUGCAUUUUUAUUAGAUGACUCUGGCAGUUGCCUGUAGAAUGGGUUAUGGGCGGAGCAAGGGAAGAAAUGAAGAGACCAGUUUUGAAGUAACCAUAGUAGAAUCUAAAGGAGAACUUCAACAAGGAUCUGGCGGUGGAGAUUGGAAAAGGAUGCUUUCCAGAUGUAUUGAGAAAGUCCAACUGGACAGAUGGUGGUGGAUAAGCCAAUGAAGGAGAGGGUGUUACCAAAGAUUCAGGCCCUCAUCACUGAUGGGUGCGAUUGCCUUCAUGUAAGCAAAGGGACACUAGCAAAAGGCUAAUUUGGAAGGAAGAUCAUGAAUUUGAUUGGGGUUAGGUACAGUUUCUGGUGUCUUUGAGGCAAUCAAAUGAGUUAGGAAUUCAGAGGAGAUGUUUGGAUUGGAGAUUUUAAGUUUGUGAGUCACUGACAUGUAGAUGAUGGCAAUCAAAGUGGAAGGAAUGGAUAAAAUUGCUGAGGAAAUUUCAGGAGACCCAGGAUAGGAAGUUAAGGACCCUUUAAAGCCUGGAUUGUCACAGUGAGCUAACAAAAUACCUUGAGAAUGAGCAGCUGGGUGGUAGGUGGAAAACCAGGAGAGCCUAUUGUCAUAAAAGUCAAGGAGAGGGGGAAUUUCUAAAAGGAAGCUCUGGACAAGAGUGGAACACCAUCAAGAGUUCCACUCGGAUGAGGACUGGAAUGCAAUUGGACUUAGUGGUAUCAUGGUUACUGAGAAUUGACUCUUCCAAGAGUCAUUCAGUGGAGCGAUGGAGGAACAGGACUAGAGGUCAGAUUGCAAUGGGCUGAAGAGUCAAUAGAAGGUAAAGAAAGAGAGAGAACACAUAAAGAUAAAAUUCUCUCUGGAAGUUUCUACUAAAGGGGAGGAGACAGACGAUAGCUCUGGAAGGAGGAGAUGUGGAGGGAGGUUGACUUUUUAUUUUAUUUUAUGUUUGCUUUUAAGAUAGGGUACUUGUGAACAUUCUUGAAUGCCAAUGGAUAGAAUCCAGUAUUGGGGGAUAUGUUGAGAUUAAACUACUGAAAAGAUAAUCCGGGUGUUGAUUGCCUGGGAAGGCAGGAAGGGAUACAAUCUACAGCCCAGAUGGACAGAUUUACC